rnacentral:rRNA from 1 species
AUUGAACGCUGGCGGCAGGCCUAACACAUGCAAGUCGAACGAGCGGCGGACGGGUGAGUAAUGUAUGGGAAACUGCCUGAUGGAGGGGGAUAACUACUGGAAACGGUGGCUAAUACCGCAUACCAUCAGAUGUACCCAGAUGGGAUUAGCUAGUUGGUGGGGUAAAGGCUCACCAAGGCGACGAUCCCUAGCUGGUCUGAGAGGAUGACCAGCCACACUGGAACUGAGACACGGCCCAGACUCCUACGGUAGGCAGCAGUGGGGAAUAUUGCACAAUGGGCGCAAGCCUGAUGCAGCCAUGCCGCGUGUAUGAAGAAGGCCUUCGGGUUGUAAAGUACUUUCAGCGGGGAGGCGUUACCCGCAGAAGAAGCACCGGCUAACUCCGUGCCAGCAGCCGCGGUAAUAC